rnacentral:pre_miRNA from 1 species
UCUUCAUUUCAAUCACUCUCUCACCGGUCAGAGAGGCGAGAGAGUGUGUGAAAUGAAGAGG